rnacentral:misc_RNA from 1 species
GGAAGUAGAAGUCGUAACAAGGUCUCCGUAGGUGAGCCUGCGGAGGGAUCAUUACAGAGUUCUCGCCCUCGCGGGUAGAUCUCCCACCCACUGUUAUCGUUACUGUGUUGCUUUGGCGGGCCGCCGGGCCCCGCUCGGCCGCCGGCUCCGGCUGGCGCGCGCCCGCCAGAGGCCCAGCAAACUCUGAAUGUUAGUGUCGUCUGAGUACUAUAUAAUAGUUAAAACUUUCAACAACGGAUCUCUUGGUUCUG